AAAAUUAAGUAAUAUUCAAGCUCAAAAUGUGUUGCAGAAACCUAGUGAAACAAAAAAAAAAGUAAUUAAUGGAAUUAUCCAAUCAGCUUUGAAAAAACACAUCUUUGAAAAAAACACAUGCAUCACACAAAUGCACCUGGGUCAUAUGAUUUACAGACUUCUGAUUAAGUGCAAGAUUGCACUACCAAAGUCUGCAAGUGUUUUAGCAAAAGGAUCGCCUGUAAGAAACAAGCUGACUUCACCCACCAACUCUGACUACAUGUGACAAAACAAAUGUCUUGUGACCACCCUCUAACCAGUCUGCAUUACAGCCCACCACCUACAAAAAUGUUUGGGAUAGAUAAUAAGAUCCAAGUCAGCCAUAAAUGAAAGUGAACCACGAGAGAAGCACUUCACUCUUUCCGAGCAUCUGAGGGAUGUGGUAAGCAAACACAAUCAGUCCAAUUCAGCAGCAGCAUAAUAUAGCCAUUGUUUACAAAAGCAAUGUUUAAAGCAAAACAUGUUUUGAUAACAUGAAGGAACACACGAAAUGGUUUUAAACGAACAAAAAGCUAUUUUACAACAUCCUUUAUGUAUUGCUAGGUGUAGCAAUUAUGUAUUGCUGGGUUUGCUCUGCAGAGCAAACAGAGCUCUGGGCAAGUUAUGUGUGAAAAGAAGAAAUAACCUAGUUAGAAAGUGUUCAUUCAGAUUUUUCUACUUCAAAACACUUUAAAAAGCCCUCUGAAGGAGACCUGCCUUGAGUCUUUUGCAGUUCCUUCAGUUACACACGUUCACUAAAUUUUUACACUAUGCUGACAUUCCCUCAAUUUACACACAUUUGGCUGCUUUCACCUUUCCAAUUAGCAUAACAGCUAAUUUACUUGAUGGAUCACAACAACACAGCAACAGUGGUCUAAACAAGCCAGUGCUGAACAUCUUCACAGAGACAGAAUGAUGCUGGCAGUUCCCAUGGGAGGAAAACAAUAGACAAGCUCAUGAGCCUCCUUUCAUCUUAUCCACACCAGUCCUCCUCAGUGUUCACAGCCAGUGUGUAAGUAAUAUAAUUUAGGGUUAUAGAACAGGCAUAUCCCCGUAAAUACAUAUUAGGAGUGAAUUACAGAGAAGCCUGAGUCCAUCAGACAGCAAAAGACAUUGAGCAAUAUGUGAGCACCCCAUCAGAGGAGGGUGGGGCAAAUAGCACUGAGAAGUAAAACUGAAAGGAAAAAGGGUGAGGUUGACGAAAGAAGCAGCCCCAACUUUACCAUCUUCUACUUUAUGAUACUACACUAAGCCUGGCUUCCCACUUGAUCUACUAAUAUAUGUCCAAUGACCAAGGACUACAAGGAAAAAAAACAAAACAAUCCAGAAAGAAGUAAUAAUUGGGGAAAUACAGGCUUUCCCUCUUCCUGUUUCCUUGUUAGUAUCACAUCUGAAAAGUUCUUGAUUUUUUAAGAAUAAACUUUGAAAAAACA